rnacentral:rRNA from 1 species
GACGAACGCUGGCGGCGUGCCUAAUACAUGCAAGUCGAACGCAGUGGGGGCGGGUGAGUAACAAGUGGGUAACCUCCCAUCAGAGGGGAUAACACUUGGAAACAGGUGCUAAACCGAUAGUGAUGGAGGGAACCGGUGGGCAUUAGCUGGUUGGUGGGGUAACGGCUCACCAGGGCCACGAUGCAUAGCCGGCCGAAGAGGGUGAUCAGCCACACUGGGACUGAGACACGGCCCAGACGCCUACGGGAGGCAGCAGUGGGGAAUCUUCGGCAAUGGACGAAAGUCUGACCGAGCAACGCCGCGUGAGUGAAGAAGGUUUUCGGAUCGUAAAGCACUGUUGUUAGAGAAGCGUUAUCUAACCAGAAAGCCACGGCUAACUCCGUGCCAGCAGCCGCGGUAAUUC